rnacentral:rRNA from 1 species
UACGUAGGGGGCAAGCAUUGUCCGGAUUUAUUGGGCGUAAAGAGCGUGUAGGCGGCUUUACAGGUCCGUUGUGAAAACUCGAGGCUCAACCUCGAGACGCCGGUGGAAACCGUAAAGCUAGAGUCCGGAAGAGGAGAGUGGAAUUCCUGGUGUAGCGGUGAAAUGCGCAGAUAUCAGGAGGAACACCCGUGGCGAAAGCGGCUCUCUGGGACGGUACUGACGCUGAGACGCGAAAGCGUGGGGAGCAAACAGG